GAGAUCAUGACCUGAGCCGAAGUCUGACGCCCAACCGACUGAGCCACCCAGGCGCCCCGUUAAUUCUGUUUUAGAUGGUGAGCUGAGGAAUAAGGCACCUAAAUUAAUUGUUUGACUGGCUUUGAUCCAGGAUACUACCCAUUGCAUUUAGUCAUCAUUGUUGCCAUGGUCUUCUCCAAUCAAUGACAGUUUCUCAGUCUUCCCUUGUUCUUUGUUAUCUUGACUGUUUUGAAGAGUACUGGUAAAGUAUUUGUAGAAUGUCCAUCAGUUUGGGUCUAUCUGAUGUUUUCUCAUGAUUAGACUGGGGUUAUGGGUGGAGAGAAUACCACAGAGGUGAUAUGUUCUUUCUUCAUAUCAUGGUCAUGUUAUCCGGGGAAGAAGAGAGCAACAUGACUUAUGACUAGGGAUGUAAACCUUCAUCACUAGGUUAAGGUGGUGUCUGCUAGGUUUCUUCACUGAAGAGUUACUAUACAUUUGAAAGCAAAUGUUAAAACCACCACAGUAAGGAAUGAAUAAUUCAGGGGCAAUAUUUUGACGGGAAGGAAAUACUUUCUCACUCCAUAAAGGUUCAUGUAUUUGAGCAUUAAGCUAUGGGUCUUGCUUGUAGCAGUUGUUUCUGUGUCUAAUGGUGAUGUUCUUUUCCCUUAAUCUUUUUGUAUUUAUCCUUUGGAAUUAUUUCAUAAAAAAUGUUUUUUCUUCUUCCCA